UACGAAGGGGGCUAGCGUUGCUCGGAAUCACUGGGCGUAAAGCGCACGUAGGCGGCUUUUUAAGUCAGGGGUGAAAUCCUGGAGCUCAACUCCAGAACUGCCUUUGAUACUGAGAAGCUUGAGUCCGGGAGAGGUGAGUGGAAUUCCCAGUGUAGCGGUGAAAUGCGUAGAUAUUGGGAGGAACACCAGUGGCGAAGGCGGCUCACUGGACCGGUACUGACGCUGAGACGCGAAAGCCAGGGGAGCAAACGGG
rnacentral:rRNA from 1 species